rnacentral:rRNA from 1 species
GACGAACGCUGGCGGCGUGCCUAAUACAUGCAAGUCGAACGAGAGCAACCGGUGCUUGCACUGGUCAAUCUAGUGGCGAACGGGUGAGUAACACGUGGGUAACCUGCCCAUCAGAGGGGGAUAACAUCCGGAAACGGAUGCUAAAACCGCAUAGGUCUUCGAACCGCAUGGUUUGAAGAGGAAAAGAGGCGCAAGCUUCUGCUGAUGGAUGGACCCGCGGUGCAUUAGCUAGUUGGUGAGGUAACGGCUCACCAAGGCCGUGAUGCAUAGCCGACCUGAGGGGGUGAUCGGCCACAUUGGGACUGAGACACGGCCCAAACUCCUACGGGAGGCAGCAGUAGGGAAUCUUCCGCAAUGGACGCAAGUCUGACGGAGCAACGCCGCGUGAGUGAAGAAGGUUUUCGGAUCGUAAAACUCUGUUGUUAGAGAAGAACAAGUGCUAGAGUAACUGUUAGCGCCUUGACGGUAGCUAACCAGAAAGCCACGGCUAACUACGUG